rnacentral:rRNA from 1 species
UGCAAGUCGAACGGAAAGGCCCUUCGGGGUACUCGAGUGGCGAACGGGUGAGUAACACGUGGGUGAUCUGCCCUGCACUUUGGGAUAAGCCUGGGAAACUGGGUCUAAUACCGGAUAGGACCACGCGCUUCAUGGUGUGUGGUGGAAAGCUUUUGCGGUGUGGGAUGGGCCCGCGGCCUAUCAGCUUGUUGGUGGGGUAAUGGCCUACCAAGGCGACGACGGGUAGCCGGCCUGAGAGGGUGACCGGCCACACUGGGACUGAGAUACGGCCCAGACUCCUACGGGAGGCAGCAGUGGGGAAUAUUGCACAAUGGGCGCAAGCCUGAUGCAGCGACGCCGCGUGAGGGAUGACGGCCUUCGGGUUGUAAACCUCUUUCAAUAGGGACGAAGCGCAAGUGACGGUACCUAUAGAAGAAGGACCGGCCAACUACGUGCCAGCAGCCGCGGUAAUACGUAGGGUCCGAGCGUUGUCCGGAAUUACUGGGCGUAAAGAGCUCGUAGGUGGUUUGUCGCGUUGUUCGUGAAAACUCACAGCUUAACUGUGGGCGUGCGGGCGAUACGGGCAGACUAGAGUACUGCAGGGGAGACUGGAAUUCCUGGUGUAGCGGUGGAAUGCGCAGAUAUCAGGAGGAACACCGGUGGCGAAGGCGGGUCUCUGGGCAGUAACUGACGCUGAGGAGCGAAAGCGUGGGGAGCGAACAGGAUUAGAUACCCUGGUAGUCCACGCCGUAAACGGUGGGUACUAGGUGUGGGUUUCCUUCCUUGGGAUCCGUGCCGUAGCUAACGCAUUAAGUACCCCGCCUGGGGAGUACGGCCGCAAGGCUAAAACUCAAAGGAAUUGACGGGGGCCCGCACAAGCGGCGGAGCAUGUGGAUUAAUUCGAUGCAACGCGAAGAACCUUACCUGGGUUUGACAUGCACAGGACGCCAGUAGAGAUAUUGGUUCCCUUGUGGCCUGUGUGCAGGUGGUGCAUGGCUGUCGUCAGCUCGUGUCGUGAGAUGUUGGGUUAAGUCCCGCAACGAGCGCAACCCUUGUCUCAUGUUGCCAGCACGUUAUGGUGGGGACUCGUGAGAGACUGCCGGGGUCAACUCGGAGGAAGGUGGGGAUGACGUCAAGUCAUCAUGCCCCUUAUGUCCAGGGCUUCACACAUGCUACAAUGGCCGGUACAAAGGGCUGCGAUGCCGUGAGGUGGAGCGAAUCCUUUCAAAGCCGGUCUCAGUUCGGAUCGGGGUCUGCAACUCGACCCCGUGAAGUCGGAGUCGCUAGUAAUCGCAGAUCAGCAACGCUGCGGUGAAUACGUUCCCGGGCCUUGUACACACCGCCCGUCACGUCAUGAAAGUCGGUAACACCCGAAGCCGGUGGCCUAACCCUUGUGGAGGGAGCCGUCGA